rnacentral:pre_miRNA from 1 species
UGCCCUUAGAAACUAAGUGUGGGUGUGGCCUGAAAAACAAAGAUGGCGACCCAUCCUUAGCUUCUGAGGCCU